rnacentral:sRNA from 1 species
GUUUGGGUUUGACUUUUGAGGAAAGCAACUGAUCAUGUUUUUCUUUCCAGAAUUGUGGUGGUUUUGGACUCCAUGAUUAAGGUGUUCACAUUCACACACAAUCCCCAUCAGUUGCACGUCUUCGAAACCUGCUAUAACCCCAAAGGCCUCUGUGUCCUUUGUCCCAAUAGUAACAACUCCCUCCUGGCCUUUCCGGGCACGCACACGGGCCAUGUGCAGCUCGUGGACCUGGCCAGCACGGAGAAGCCACCCGUGGACAUUCCUGCACACGAGGGUGUCCUGAGCUGCAUUGCACUCAACCUGCAGGGAACAAGAAUUGCAACUGCAUCCGAGAAAGGCAUUUAAUCCAGGAACUGCGAAGAGGAUCUCAAGCAGCCAAUAUUUACUGCAUUAACUUCAAUCAGGAUGCGUCCCUCAUCUGCGUAUCCAGCGACCACGGCACAGUGCAUAUUUUUGCAGCUGAAGAUCCAAAAAGGAAUAAACAGUCCAGUUUGGCCUCAGCCAGUUUCCUUCCAAAAUACUUCAGUUCCAAGUGGAGUUUCUCCAAGUUUCAGGUUCCCUCAGGCUCUCCGUGCAUUUGUGCCUUUGGAACAGAGCCAAACGCCGUCAUUGCAAUUUGUGCAGACGGCAGCUACUACAAAUUCCUGUUCAA